UUCAACAUUGUCAUUUAUUUUCAUUAUCAAAAAUUUCAGGCUACUUAAUGCUAAAUUUCGAAGUUACUUAUUUUUUGAACAAAAAUAUUUAGUCAAACUAAAUUUCGAAGUUAUUUAUUGAAUAAAAAUAAUAAGUCGAAGAAAUAUUACCAAAUACUUAUCAUUAAACAAAACAAAAUGUGUGAUCGAAUGAACGUGAUCAAUCAAUUGCGAACAAUCAUGUCGGCGAUUCAAUGCGGUGGAUGCCCUCCGCCGUGUUCACCGCCUCCUUGCUGCCCGCCGUGCUGCAAAGGCGGCUCGCUCGUCACAGUAUACAGUCAAGUAGCACAUAUCCAGUGAAGAGCUGCUACUGCGCUCGCUCUUCGAUUUGAAGUCAUUUACACUUUGGCGAUGCCGUGCUGGCAAUUGGCCAGCCGCCACUGCCGGUGGCAGCGUUCGAUAAAGCUACCAUCGCCAUUGGCUGCCACCACCCGCCGUGCGUAUGCUGAUUGGACGAGUUAGUUGCUGAAACCUUUUGCUGCUAACAUGAAACGCACCAUCGCUGACGCGCACAAUGGCCCAUAAUUGUGAAGUGUCGUAAAGUUUAUCCAAUUUGUAAAAAGUAAAAAUUGUAAUGUCUUAA